rnacentral:rRNA from 1 species
GAUGAACGCUGGCGGCGUGCCUAAUACAUGCAAGUCGAGCGAACAGGCGAGGAGCUUGCUCCUCUGACGUUAGCGGCGGACGGGUGAGUAACACGUGGAUAACCUACCUAUAAGACUGGGAUAACUUCGGGAAACCGGAGCUAAUACCGGAUAAUAUAUUGAACCGCAUGGUUCAAUAGUGAAAGACGGUUUUGCUGUCACUUAUAGAUGGAUCCGCGCCGCAUUAGCUAGUUGGCAAGGUAACGGCUUACCAAGGCAACGAUGCGUAGCCGACCUGAGAGGGUGAUCGGCCACACUGGAACUGAGACACGGUCCAGACUCCUACGGGAGGCAGCAGUAGGGAAUCUUCAGCAAUGGGCGAAAGCCUGACGGAGCAACGCCGCGUGAGUGAUGAAGGUCUUCGGAUCGUAAAACUCUGUUAUUAGGGAAGAACAAAUGUGUAAGUAACUAUGCACGUCUUGACGGUACCUAAUCAGAAAGCCACGGCUAACUACGUG